AUCCUGAUGAAUGAAUUGGUAACACUUUAGAAAAGUAAAGGCAGGAGACAGAAAACCGGGCUCUGAUUCUUAAGAUUCGGAUUCUACAGGAAGAGAAUUUCAAGAACAUCAUGGAUAUAGACAGACUGGAAAAGAAGAUUGAAGACUUGUCUAAAACUGAGACAGAGCACCAAAUGCAGUUACACACAUAUGAGAACACUUUGCUUAAUAAAGAUACAAGUUUGCAGAAGAAAGGCUUAUAUAUAGAAGAACUUAAAUCAACCAUCAUAGAAUAUGGAAGCAUUAUAGAGAAUUUACGAGGGGAAAAAAAUAAACUGGCUCAUGAGUUACAGCUCUUGCAACAGGAACUCAUCACAAAUGGGAUCCAGUUGAAUGUUAAUGGAGAGUGUAACAGUAUCAUCUCUGAAGGAGAAAAGUCUUUACAUUAUGAACUCACUCUUGCUCAGUCUGCAGAGAACACUGAAACAGAGAGGCAGCACAAUGUAAUCAACUUGUCAUCUCUGGAUGCCAUGAUGGAUCAGGAAAUGCUGCUAUUACUAAGAGAGCCUGCGCAGAAGGCAGUGGAAUUCACAGCCACGCUUCAGAAGCUGCACGAAGAAAUUUCUAAAAUUGCAACCCUCAUUGAAAACUCUCGAUGGUGGGUAACUAAUCCAGAAAUUACUGUGAAAGAAAAGUGGGAGGAGCAGCUUACU
rnacentral:sRNA from 1 species